AGAGAGAGAAAGACUAUGACAUCUAGCUGGUUACAGUUGAAACAAUGAUUCUGACACUGAAAAGGAAUUCAAUAUGCAACUAGCAGACAUUUGACCCUGAACAAACAGUGUGUAUGUGAUAUCAAGUCAAAACUGGAGAAGGAAGAAUGAGGCUUAUUUCUUGAAAGGAGGUGGUUCUAGUGAGUAAAAAUAAUUCCUCAGGGAGUCCCAUGAAAAUGGCAUGGGUUUCAUCCAAAAAGUCAAUUAUCAGGACCAGUUAAAGCAGAGUAGAAGAAUUAUCAGACCCUCUAACAGGCCUGCCUGUGCACGGUUAAGAUUAAAAAAUCGAGAGCUUCCCUUGGCUGCUUCUGAGCCAGAGGACUGCUGAGCGGGAUUGCGGAAGAAGAUUACUUUAUUGACUUCAGGACUGGUCUUCUUGUUUCUGCACCACCUCCACUGGGAGGCAGAGGGAGGAUCGCUUGAGCCCAGGAGCUUGAGAACAGUCCUGGCAACACAGUGAGAACUCGUCUCCACAAAAGAUUAAAAAAAAAAAUAGCCGAGGAUGGUGGCACAUGCCUGUAGUCUCAGCUUCUUGGAAGGCUGAGGCAAGGAGGGUCACUUGAGCCUGGGAAGUUGAGGCUACAAGGAGCCAUGAUCCUGCCACUGCACUCCAGUCUGGGUGAUAGAGCAAGAUUAUGUCUCAAAAAUAAAUAAAUUAAAAAUUAAAAAGGUCUGUG
rnacentral:lncRNA from 10 species